UACGUAGGGUGCGAGCGUUAAUCGGAAUUACUGGGCGUAAAGCGUGCGCAGGCGGUUCGCUAAGACAGAUGUGAAAUCCCCGGGCUCAACCAGGGAAGUGCGUUUGUGACUGGCGGGCUGGAGUGCGGAAGAGGGGGGUGGAAUUCCACGUGUAGCAGUGAAAUUCGUAGAGAUGUGGAGGAACACCGAUGGCGAAGGCAGCCUCCUGGUCUAGCACUGACGCUCAUGCACGAAAGCGUGGGGAGCAAACAGG
rnacentral:rRNA from 1 species